ACGGUAACAUUGUCAGGAAAUGCAGACUGUGUCCAACGGCUCUUUUUCUUGUCUCUAACGGCUAUAUUCUUGUUUCCACGCCAUCUAAAGCUAUAAAAACAAGAAGAGAGCUAGGGGAGAACUCAUGGAAGUGGGAGAGAACUUUUAGGGAAGAGAUUCCAAACAGAUUACAAGGAAAAUCUCCCAAAAGCACAAAAGGGCCAUUCAAAGUGAAAUAGAGGGAAGAAGAGCAUCCAAGUGAAUCCCAGAGCUUCCUCUCCAUCCGUGUGCUGCCUCGGUGAUCCUCCACUUCGUGCCAAAUCAGAAGAGGGUCAAGUAAAGAAGAAGUCGAGCUCCUUCAUCUUCCAAACUCGUUUGAGGACUUCACUUUACUCUAUUUGCUUAUAGUGUUAUAUUUGCUUGUUUAAGAAGCUUUGAUUUAUCUUAAACUUUGUUUUAAUAUUUUGUAACUUGAUUCAAUCACGGGAUUGAAUCAAGGGGUAAAGGUUUGUUGGUGAGCCAAAGGAAAAACCAACGGGUAAAGGUUUGUUGGUGAGCCAAAGGAAAAACCAACGGGUUAAGGUUUGUUGGUGAGCCAAAGGGAAAACCAACGG
rnacentral:lncRNA from 1 species